GACGAACGCUGGCGGCGUGCUUAACACAUGCAAGUCGAACGGAAAGGCCCUGCUUUUGUGGGGUGCUCGAGUGGCGAACGGGUGAGUAACACGUGAGUAACCUGCCCUUGACUUUGGGAUAACUUCAGGAAACUGGGGCUAAUACCGGAUAGGAGCUCCUGCUGCAUGGUGGGGGUUGGAAAGUUUCGGCGGUUGGGGAUGGACUCGCGGCUUAUCAGCUUGUUGGUGGGGUAGUGGCUUACCAAGGCUUUGACGGGUAGCCGGCCUGAGAGGGUGACCGGCCACAUUGGGACUGAGAUACAGCCCAGACUCCUACGGGAGGCAGCAGUGGGGAAUAUUGCACAAUGGGCGGAAGCCUGAUGCAGCAACGCCGCGUGCGGGAUGACGGCCUUCGGGUUGUAAACCGCUUUCGCCUGUGACGAAGCGCGAGUGACGGUAAUGGGUAAAGAAGCACCGGCUAACUACGUG
rnacentral:rRNA from 1 species